rnacentral:misc_RNA from 1 species
CUAUCCUACACGAAAUGCAUAGAACAUAGAUAUAACAUAGACAUAAGCAUAAGAAAAAUUUCAAUCUACACAGACGUGCAUAGCAUAUGUUUUGACCAAUCAGAAUUGAGGAACAAUAAUCGCCAUUUCGCAACAGUGCAACAGUUUUCUAACCUAUUACUUCUUACUAAGAGUUUUUCGCUGAAGUAUUACUGAAUGCAACCAAAAUCUUUAUAAAAAAAAGUUUAUAACAUAAGGGCACAUUAAACAUGAUAAACAUUAGUGGUAUUGAUUGAACAUAAAGUCAAAAGAGGAUUUAUUUUUAUGCGAAAGAACGUUAUUUAUAAACAGAUUGGAUUGACUCGAAAGUUUGUAGCAGUCUAUUAUAAUACAUGAUUGAUCAUUCUCAAAAUUAAUUUAACUAUUAAACAUUGUCCUUCAAUGAGUAUUGUACACCUGUGGAAUAUUCGGAUAAAAUUUUUAUAAGACACACGCACGCACACUUAAAAUUAUAUGAAUAUUUAUAAUUAUCAAGGUUGUCUACAAACACUCACGAAUAUUUUAUCAAAGAUGGAUAUAAAGAUGGAUGAUUACACAUUUACAUCGCCAUCAUAUCAGCAAGUUAUAUAUUUUUGCAAAAACGUAAACAAGUUAAGAAGAAACGACUUUGGGUACGACCUAUAUAUAUAUCAAUCGACCGCUAUAUGAUAUAUUGCGACCUCAUCUAGAGAAAAGAAAUUGGAGAGCAUUAUCAGCAGAACAACGACUUUUUAUUAUGCUUAGGUACAUAUAAAAGUGCUUUUAAUUCCUAUAGAUUAAUUUUAACUUAUAAUUUUAUUUUAUUUAUUCGUUUAUUUUAAAAAAUUUUAUUUUUUGU